GAUGAACGCUAGCUACAGGCUUAACACAUGCAAGUCGAGGGGAAACGAUGAGAGGGCUUGCUCUCUUAGUCGUCGACCGGCGCACGGGUGAGUAACGCGUAUCCAACCUGCCUCUGACCAAGGGAUAACCCGUCGAAAGUCGGACUAAUACCUUAUGCAGUCGUCGGAAGUCAUCUGAUGACGACGAAAGAUUUCAUCGGUGAGAGAUGGGGAUGCGUCUGAUUAGCUUGUUGGCGGGGUAACGGCCCACCAAGGCGACGAUCAGUAGGGGUUCUGAGAGGAAGGUCCCCCACAUUGGAACUGAGACACGGUCCAAACUCCUACGGGAGGCAGCAGUGAGGAAUAUUGGUCAAUGGGCGUAAGCCUGAACCAGCCAAGUAGCGUGCAGGAUGACGGCCCUAUGGGUUGUAAACUGCUUUUAUGCGGGGAUAAAGUGAGGGACGUGUCCUUCAUUGCAGGUACCGCAUGAAUAAGGACCGGCUAAUUCCGUG
rnacentral:rRNA from 1 species